rnacentral:tRNA from 1 species
GGGUCAAUAGCUCAAUUGGUAGAGCAUCGGACUUUUAAUCCGCAGGUUCCGAGUUCGAGUCUCGGUUGACCCACCA